rnacentral:lncRNA from 1 species
UUAAAAAAUAGGAUCAAAACUCUAGAAUUACAACAAAUAUCUCAACCCGAGACUGAUACAGAAGAAAUAGAAUUUGAUCAGCUCAUGAGAUAUGAGCCAGAUCCACCAGCAGAUAUACCAGAAACUUCGGAAGCCAAACCUCACGUGGUAACAAUUCCUUCUGUUAAUUUAAUAGAUAAAAUUAUGAUUCAAAAAUGGUUUGUUCAAGUCAAGAUAAUUGUAGCAAAGGAUUAUAGUUUCGAAACCUCAG